GGGCGCAUAGCUCAGUUGGUUAGAGCGCGACUCUUAUAAAGUCGAGGUCCCUGGUUCGAGCCCAGGUGCGCCCA
rnacentral:tRNA from 1 species